CCUCUUUUGGCAUUUGAGAGUAGAAAGGAGGUUCACCUAAAAUUCAAACCAGGUUUUCCUAAAGCUAACCCAGACUCACUCACUUUGGGGUAAACUAUAGUUGCAUUUUGUGUUCAUAAUAAAACUUUCAUCCCACUUUAGCUAAUGAUGAAUAGAUGAUGGGCUGGGAAAGAGAACUAGAUGUUUUUGGAAUUACUGUUUUGUCUUAUUUUAUUUCAUGUUUCCUGUCAGGUUCUGAGGUAGGGGAGAACAGUAUGUGAAGCUCAUUUUCAAUGGUACAUGUGGAGAUAUGACCACAUAGGAGAGACCAGAGGGGGAAUCAACAGUUAAAUACACAUAUGAGUUUUUUUUUAAAGGAGAAUCUAUAUGAAAUAUCAGUAAUUUACAUUUCUUGAGAGCUUACUAUAACCAGGCACCAUUUUAAGUACUUUGCACGUAUUAACUCAACUUAGCUGACCAUACGGAGAAGGUGAUGGCACCCCACUCCAGUACUCUUGCCUGGAAAAUCCCGUGGACUGAGGAGCCUGGUAGGCUGCAGUCCAUGGGGUCGCUGAGAGUCGGACACGACUGAGCAACUUCCCUUUCACUUUUCACUUUCAUCCAUUGGAGAAGGAAAUGGCAACCCACUCCAGUUUUCUUGCCUGGAGAAUCCCAGGGACGGGGGAGCCUGGUGGGCUACCAUCUAUGGGGUCACACAGAGUCGGACACGACUGAAGUGACUUAGUAGCAGCAGCAGCUGACCAUAACAGUACCAGACAAACACUAUUAUCUCCAUUUUGCAGAUAAGAAAGACUACGCACGGGGAAAUUACGUAACCUGCCCAAGUUACACUGCUCCUGAAAGGGAUUUGAGCCCAGCAUGUUGGGUUCUGGAAUCUCCGUACCUAAGCACAGUGCUCUCCUGCCUCCCUAGAGAAAUUGUAAUUGCAAUGUUGUUUGCAGAACAAACUGCUACAGUGAUUCGUGGCAGAAGCCUUUUCCCAUUUUUAACUGCUGAGAACGGUAAAAUGUAAUGGCAGAAACCAAGGUAGAGAAAGCUCAUUCUUGUCUAAUCUCCUUAUCCCAGAAGUAGGAAGGGAGUUGAAGGCUCAAAUCUCCCUGAAGUCUUUGCUGAGCUUCUACUUGGAAUGCUACAUAUGUAGAAUACUUUAAUGCCACAGAGAUGGAGAUAAAUGGGGUGGAAUUCAAAGGGAAAAAAAAAGACAAAAUGACAGGGUGAGAGGAUGACUGGGGAGAGAAGAUCAAAAGAACUAAAAAAGGAAAACUUGGAAAAGCAAGAGUUAAUCUAGAACUCAGUAGCACUCUAGAGAUAUUCAGAAGAAAAACCAAGGCCUACAAAUGUCACCAGGGAGAUUGGAAAUAGGUGAAGAGGAAGGUCUGAGAAAAGAACAAAUUAAGGGAACUCAGUAAGAUUUUGUCAUGUUCUUGAAAGACCAGUAAUGAAAGCUAUAUUUUUUUUGGAAUACUAAAGCCCAAGCCAGAAAUUUCACAGGAAAACACAAAUGGAUUCCCUGCCUUGUGUAGGUGGAAGCAGAAAGAUGUUGUUGCUGUUUAAUCACUAAGUUGUGUGCAGUUCUUUACAACCCCAUGGACUGUAGUCCUCCAGGCUCCUCUGUCCGUGGAAUUAUCCAGGAAAUGGCAACCCACUCCAGUAUUCUUGCAAGGAAAAUUCUGGGGACGGAGGAGCCUGGCGGGCUACAGUCCAUGAGGUCGCAAAGAGUCCACGGGGUUGCAGAGAGUUGGACAUGACUGAACACACACAAAAGGGAACAAAAACCGUGUCCCUGGAGCAUCUUUCUACAGAGUUGGAGUCUGUCCUCAGAAGCAGUACAGCUGAACCUCAUCCCUACACCAUAUGGCAGACUUUCAAACCCUUCAAGGUAACUUUCAUUCUUCCCCCAUCCCCUUGGCUAAAUUGGACUCAGAAGGUUUGUCUUCCUGAGUUGGCCUUAGUUUCUCAGAGUCUUUUAAGAAGCAUCCAGAAACAAAAUAUUCAGAAGUCUCGUGUCCUGUGCUGUGUACCAUGCGUGCCAUGUGACUUUAAUCAGAACCCUGGUCAGGGAGGAAUCCCAUACUGUGGAGUCAGAUCUCAAUCAUCAAGGAGCGUGUAAGGAGGGAUUUAUUGCAUUUAAGAAUGUCUCAUGUUUAUCCCCAUUAAAUUGCAUUUUGUUUUGGCUUUUUGGUGGCUUUUAAAGUCUGUCCCUCUCAUCUUUUGUUCCUUUACAAAUUGCAUUAGCGUGUCUCUUACAGUUUUGUCCAAUCAUUGAUCUGCAUAUUACAGAAGCCAGUGU
ensembl:lncRNA